rnacentral:rRNA from 1 species
CUCUGACGUUAGCGGCGGACGGGUGAGUAACACGUGGAUAACCUACCUAUAAGACUGGGAUAACUUCGGGAAACCGGAGCUAAUACCGGAUAAUAUAUUGAACCGCAUGGUUCAAUAGUGAAAGACGGUUUUGCUGUCACUUAUAGAUGGAUCCGCGCCGCAUUAGCUAGUUGGUAAGGUAACGGCUUACCAAGGCAACGAUGCGUAGCCGACCUGAGAGGGUGAUCGGCCACACUGGAACUGAGACACGGUCCAGACUCCUACGGGAGGCAGCAGUAGGGAAUCUUCCGCAAUGGGCGAAAGCUUGACGGAGCAACGCCGCGUGAGUGAUGAAGGUCUUCGGAUCGUAAAACUCUGUUAUUAGGGAAGAACAAAUGUGUAAGUAACUAUGCACGUCUUGACGGUACCUAAUCAGAAAGCCACGGCUAACUACGUGCCAGCAGCCGCGGUAAUACGUAGGUGGCAAGCGUUAUCCGGAAUUAUUGGGCGUAAAGCGCGCGUAGGCGGUUUUUUAAGUCUGAUGUGAAAGCCCACGGCUCAACCGUGGAGGGUCAUUGGAAACUGGAAAACUUGAGUGCAGAAGAGGAAAGUGGGAUUCCAUGUGUAGCGGUGAAAUGCGCAGAGAUAUGGAGGAACACCAGUGGCGAAGGCGACUUUCUGGUCUGUAACUGACGCUGAUGUGCGAAAGCGUGGGGAUCAAACAGGAUUAGAUACCCUGGUAGUCCACGCCGUAAACGAUGAGUGCUAAGUGUUAGGGGGUUUCCGCCCCUUAGUGCUGCAGCUAACGCAUUAAGCACU